rnacentral:rRNA from 1 species
ACGGCUCAGUAACACGUAGUCAACCUAACUCGUGGACGUGGAUAACCUCGGGAAACUGAGAAUAAACCACGAUAGACCAUAGUGCCUGGAAUGGCUUAUGGUCCAAACAGUUUACUGCCAUGGGAUGGGACUGCGGCCUAUCAGCUUGUUGGUGAGGUAAUGGCCCACCAAGGCGAUUACAGGUACGGGCUCUGAGAGGAGAAGCCCGGAGAUGGGUACUGAGACACGGACCCAGGCCCUAUGGGGCGCAGCAGGCGAGAAACCUUAGCAAUGUGCGAAAGCACGACUGGGUCAGUCCGAGUGAUUCCUGAUAAAGGAGUCUUUUGCUUGUCCUAAAAGCACAGGUGAAUAAGGGGUGGGCAAGUCUGGUGUCAGCCGCCGCGGUAAUACCAGCACCUCGAGUGGUCAGGACGUUUAUUGGGCCUAAAGCAUCCGUAGCCGGCUUUGCAAGUCUUCGGUUAAAUCCACCUGCUCAACAGGUGGGCUGCUGGAGAUACUACAAAGCUAGGGAGUGGGAGAGGCGGACGGUAUUCAGUGGGUAGGGGUAAAAUCCUCUGAUCCAUUGAGGACCACCAGUGGCGAAGGCGGUCUGCCAGAACACGUUCGACGGUGAGGGAUGAAAGCUGGGGGAGCAAACCGGAUUAGAUACCCGGGUAGUCCCAGCUGUAAACGAUGCAAACUCGGUGAUGCAUUGGCUUAUGGCCAAUGCAGUGCCGCAGGGAAGCCGUUAAGUUUGCCGCCUGGGAAGUACGGACGCAAGUCUGAAACUUAAAGGAAUUGGCGGGGGAGCAC